rnacentral:rRNA from 1 species
AGUGAACGCUGGCGGUAGGCCUAACACAUGCAAGUCGAACGGCAGCACAGUAAGAGCUUGCUCUUACGGGUGGCGAGUGGCGGACGGGUGAGGAAUACAUCGGAAUCUACUUUUUCGUGGGGGAUAACGUAGGGGAAACUUACGCUAAUACCGCAUACGACCUACGGGUGAAAGCAGGGGAUCUUCGGACCUUGCGCGAUUGAAUGAGCCGAUGUCGGAUUAGCUAGUUGGCGGGGUAAAGGCCCACCAAGGCGACGAUCCGUAGCUGGUCUGAGAGGAUGAACAGACACACUGGAACUGAGACACGGUCCAGACUCCUACGGGAGGCAGGAGUGGGGAAUAUUGGACAAUGGGCGAAAGUCUGAUCCAGCCAUACCGCGUGGGGGAAGAAGGCCUGCGGGUUGUAAAGCCCUUUUGUUGGGAAAGAAAAGCAGCAGGUUAAUACCCCGCUGUUCUGACGGUACCCAAAGAAUAAGCACCGGCUAACUUCG